rnacentral:misc_RNA from 1 species
UUUCCGUAGGUGAACCUGCGGAAGGAUCAUUAUCCAUCUCAAACCAGGUGCGGUCGCGGCCCCCGGGGGCUUGCUCCCGGGUGGUAGGGGUAACACCCUCACGCGCCGCCUGCCUGUACCCUCUUUUUACGAGCACCUUUCGUUCUCCUUCGGCGGGGCGACCUGCCGCUGGAACCAAAACAAAACCUUUUUUGCAUCUAGCAUUACCUGUUCUGAUACAAAUAAUCGUUACAACUUUCAACAAUGGAUCUCUUGGCUCUG